UCUCUCUCUCUCUCUCCCUUUGCCUGCCCCUCUCUCUCCCCAGCCAGCGCUGGGACAGGGCUCACCGGAGGGGCCGUGACAGCACCAGCCCCCCCCCCCCCUUCACUUUAGAGACAGGGGCUAAUAGGGGAUUUUUAUAGGCGGAAAAGCUUUUUGCUGCUCCAGAUCGUGCAACACACAUUACACACCGACUGCUCUGCUACCCCCGGCCAUGGGCUCAGUUCCUAAUCUCACACAGGGGCACCUGAGUUGCUGGUGGGGGCAUACCCAAAAGCCAACCUUGCGUAUUAAAGCUACUAGUUUCUCCCAAGGGACUGUGAGCAUCCUACAUUGCUGUGUAGAUAUGAGGCUGAGUCCCCGUUCCGGCAUUUAUUUGGAUGCUGCAGUUCCUUGUAAGUCUCCUGGUUGACUCGGUUAUCAUGGAAUCAUCCUGAGUCUCCUGUGGCAAGUCUGCUCCUCAUUAGGCUGCUGCAGGCACUCCUCUCCAAUCCCCUCUCUCUCCAUCUCAUUCAUUCAUCCUUUUUCAUAUUCAUUCUUGCUUAGAUGUGCCUGUUCCUCUCAUGUAUUGACAGGCAACCUGAAAUGCGAAAGGAGGGGGCGGGAGGACAAGUGAGGGGAGAGGUCCCUGAGCUAAAUUUAAAAAGCACUGAUCAUUUGUCGCUAUUGACUUGUUGUGGGGAGGGGGAAGAAAAAGGAAAUAUUUGGAACAAAAUCCUGCUGAUCUGAGCUGUGGCAUUGCCAUUAACGAUCCCUUGAGGAAAAGUCAGCAUCUCAUCUUGACACAGGGAGUUGUUAAUACAGACAUGACUGCGGUGCCAGAAUGAAUUCCUGCCUGACACUGAGGGGUCUCCCUCUCUCCCCUGGCCAAAAGAUUGCUGCAGUGUUAUAAUGGUAUAACUGGGAGAUAUAAUACCAAUAUGGCUACAAGAUGUAUUGUAAUCAAUGCUUUAUCCUUUAUAUAUGGCAGACAUAUUUACACAGUGCUUUAUAGUGACUAUACCUCAUUUAUAUCAGUCCCUGUCCCAGUGGAACUUACAAUCUAACACACUCACACACCAGGGUCAGUUUCCCCCAGGGCCAAUUAACCUGCCUGUGCACAUUUGGAUUGUGCUACUGAUUUAACUAGGAGAAGGAAUUCCUUCUUGAUUUCCCUCUUUUAUUCUCAGCAAGAUCAAAUAACUGAUCACCGUUUUCAUUCUGCUUCAAUCAGUAUGAAUUAUAUUCAGAGGGACUGGCUUGUAAUUCUCACCACUUAUUAUCCUCAUGAUUUAUUUAUAUUUAGUUAUAUAGCACUUUACAUUCAUUCAACAAACAAGGGUUAUAGAAUAAAAUCGGAGGGCCCUGCUCACAUGAGCUUACAAUUUGUGCCUUUUGGUCUGUAAUACCAUAAGUCAAAUUUGGUGAGUUAAUAAACAAUCCAAUUUUUAUGUGGAUGGGAUAAAAACUAUAAUUACAAAAGUGACUUUAACUGGAGAAGGGCUUUAACUAAUUGAAUAUGAUCUAAAGGGGAAGUUGAAGUUCUUUUGUAGACUGAAUUAAAUCUGAGCUUUGAUUAGGGCAUCUAAACAGGAGAGGCAUAUAGUUGUAGGAGUAGCAGUUAUCCUUUAUUACUUAUCUUUCCUAUCAAGCUGUUUUCCAUUCAUCUCCCAGGGUGUUAUUUCAUCUAAAUGCCCCUGGAACAAGAAACAAUCUCAAUACCAAACCUGAGAGCACAGAGCAGUACAAAAGACACACAAAAAACUGACAAAUGAAGACCAACACCAAGUUGUUGUAGAAUGGAACAAAGUGCCUGUUGAUUUUGUUUACAGACUUGCCAUUUCGCCAUAGGUCUAUAUCAUUUCCCUGUGGCAUCGGGUAAGUACCACUUCAGAUGAAUGUUUUGGUGAAGAAAGAGAUAAAGAUAUUGCACGGCUUGUUUGGGGGUAACCAGAGAAAGCCUCCAGGCCACACUGGAUGUUGUCAGCUGCCAACUGUAAUUUACUGUGAUGGAGCUGUUCAACUGGAGACCAGGAAGCCACAUGGAACUCUCCAAAGGGAUUUUAAGUGCUCAAACUGCUCAGAAAGCGUACAAGACAUUUUGGUAUCAUCAUUUUAAAAUAUGUAUAAUAUUUACAUUUAUAUAUAUGUAUAUUUAUUGAUGUAUGAUGUAAAAACUAUUUAGCCUACAAUGAAGUAAUAUGGAAAAAACAUCUUAUUAGACACAUUGAAAAGGAUAAUUGCUCUGCAUAAUUAAUUUUUUUGUCAUAUAAUGCAAGGCCAUAUUAAGCAACGCAGCAGAGUUCCCUUCAAAGAUUUUUGAAUGUGCAAAGAUUAUUUUUAGGUUGUAAGCUCUUUGAGCAGGGUCCUCUUUACCUCUUGAAUAUAUGUAGGUGCUUUAUAAAUACAUGUUAAUUAUAAUAAUGCUCCCCAGGAAAGUGCUAAAUCAAUUCAGGAAUGGUCUUGUGAGCGUUAGGAAGAGGCUACACAUUCCUCAGCCGACAGAUCCAAACACCACAAAACAUUUAUGGGAAAUCCGGGAAUGUAGAGCGUAGGGUCGUUUGGGAUGAACAAUGGGCUUCUUUUAACAGUCUGUGUGACGGCGCACAUAUACUUGCAGCUGUCAGAGUCACUUUACAGCUUGUAUAGUAGUAUUCCAAGAAGGGCCAAAGCUGUUUUGAAGUUCAAAGGGGAACCGGAACUUUUAUUGUUUCUAUAAUUUUGUCUGACACCUGUAGUCUGUAGUCGUAAAGGCAAAGGCACCAGUGAUAUGUCUAUCCAUAUAAUAGUGCAUGGACAAAAGGUUAGAAAAAUGAUAAAAAAUCAUAUUAAUGUCUUACUACAAGCCUCAGUGUAAAACUAUUACUGGGCUGAAGUAAGAGCACCAAAAGUCUGUAUUUUAUUAUAUAGGUGCCACCCAAAACAUUGUCUCUGAGGCUCCCCUUAAAGUCAAUAGAAUGGUCUCUGUUUCUACUGCAAAUUGUGUGGCCUGGAGAUUAUAAACUGACGUGUGAAUUUGGAUACCCAUGUGCUGUAAGAUUCCUUUUCACUGCUGUGACUGUGACAUUUCCAAACCCACAAGAAAUCUGUGCAUCUUUGCACAUAAACCUGUGCCUGCUUCACAAUAAAAUUUCUAUUAAUAUCAA